rnacentral:pre_miRNA from 1 species
AGGACCUUGAUAUAGAAGAAUAUAACACCAGGAGGUUCCACUUCGUUGAGCACGAGCCACCAUCAAGACAGAGCAAGAGCGUCACUGAGGGUCAUGAGAAGAUCAGCAAGCUCCAAGCUUGGUGCAAGUUCCAGGACAAGUUCAUUGGUAAGUGCUUCAAGAUGUACAAAUCCAUGCAGAAGAAGGUGAACCGCUCCUCUACUAGCACUUCUGCUCCA